GACAGAGGUGCCGAGCGUUAGGCGGAAUCACUGGCUUAAAGCGUGUGUAGGCGGACCGUUAAGUACCUUGUGAAAUCCCACGGCUCAACCGUGGAACGGCUGGGUAUACUGGCGGUCUUGGGCCAUUCAGGGGCAACUGGAACAAGCGGUGGAGCGGUGAAAUGCGUAGAUAUCGCUUGGAACGCCGAAGGUGAAAACAGGUUGCUGGGGAUGUGCCGACGCUGAGACACGAAAGCCAGGGGAGCAAACGGG
rnacentral:rRNA from 1 species